rnacentral:snRNA from 1 species
GAAUACCCAGCUUGAUAAGGCUCCUACGACAUCUGUCACCCCAUUGAUCGCCAGGGUUGAUUCAGCUGAUCUGGCUGGAUAGGCAGGUGUCCCCUUCCUCUCUCAUCGCUCCAUGUGUGUCCCUCCUAAAGCUGCAUGCUAGGUCAAAGCUGCAUGCUAGGUCAAAGAGGACGGCCAGCCCCGAUAGAGGAGGACUGGUCUUCAGUCAAGGGUAUACAAGUAGCUGUGCUCCCCGGCUAGAACCUCCAAACAAGCUCUCAAGUUCCAGAAGGAAGUGAAAGAAAAAGGAAACCAAGAAUGUGGAUAGAGU